GUGAGGAAUAUUGGUCAAUGGGCGCAAGCCUGAACCAGCAAUGCCGCGUGUGGGAUGACGGCGCUUUGCGUUGUAAACCACUGUCGGACGGGACGAAAAGAGGCAUUAGCCUCCGAGACGGUACCGUCAAAGGAAGGGUCGGCUAACUACGUGCCAGCAGCCGCGGUAAUACGUAGGACCCAAGCGUUGUCCGGAUUCACUGGGUAUAAAGGGUGCGUAGGCGGUCUUGUGCGUCAGAGGUGAAAUAUCCGGGCUUAACCCGGAGGGUGCCUUUGAUACGGCAGGACUUGAGUGCGAGAGAGGAUGAUGGAAUUCCUGGUGUAGCGGUGAAAUGCGUAGAUAUCAGGAGGAACACCGGUGGCGAAGGCGGUCAUCUGGCUCGUAACUGACGCUGAGGCACGAAAGCGUGGGGAUCAAACAGGAUUAGAAACCCCAGUAGUCC
rnacentral:rRNA from 1 species